rnacentral:lncRNA from 1 species
CGUAAGUGUUUGUUUUGACAUGUUCGUGAAAUUAUGUUACUUAAAUGAAUUGAUUGUUGUUUAAAGUGGGAAAGAAGAAAGUUUUUGUUGAGUCUUACGCUUUGUUUGGUCUUGGCAGAUUGACAUUCUGUUCCUGGAAGAGGCUUAUAUCUGAAUUAUGAUAUAACUUAGUAAGCUGACUAUAACUCUGUCCACUCCAAUACUUGACAUAUGCCUCUAGUAGUAGUUGGUUGGUUAUUAGUAAUUUGUUUGUCGCACUUGGGAUCACCUUAAACACGAUAAAAAUCUUGGUUGGUUGGACAUGUCUUAUUGAUGCAAUUAGGGGCAUGUUUUGCUCCCUUGCCAAUACAGGCUUCUUGUCAAUGUGCGAUGGCAGAAUCUCGGUUGGUUAAAAAUUUGGCCAAAGUUCAAAGCUUGUGGCUUAUGUUAGCUUGGGAUCGUGGUUGCUUGUGUGCGUGGUGCUUAAGGGGACGAGCAAAAUGUGGGCAUUGAACCUUGUCAUGUGCAUGCUAUGCCCCUCGAACGUGAUGUGUGUGGCAACGUAGUAGGUAC